UCGCAGUCAGCCCUGAGCCCCGUCCGGAGGCAGUUCCAGCCGCCAGGGUCCCUCACACAAUGCUGAAAGCAAAAUACACGUAUUUGACGUGCCUCAGAGCUGACGAAGCACCCAAAAGCAGCCCUCACUAAAGGAGUUAAAAGAAAAAGAGAGAGGGAAGGGCAAAACCAGUAGAAGACAAACAAGUCCAGGGCUCAGGAAACUUUUCAGGCUGUCAAAGUUAGAGAAAGCUCCUUCGCUUUCUACAGGGCAGCUGCAGCCAGGUAAAAGAUGGACCUGAUAAAUCUCUUAAAUUUAAAAAACAAAACAAAACAAAAGCUACUUCAAACAAGCAUCAACAGCUGAGCGUAAGCCACCACCUUCGUUAUGAAGUAACAACUCAAAUAAAAACUUUUCCAGUGAAAAAUAAACUUCAAGGGCUUUCACACCAGGAGUGACUACAUCACAGAUCCUGACCCUCACGUGAUGGGAAUUGGAGGGCUCUUACAGAUAAGAUGCAGAGAGGCAAAGUACACAGGCGUUACGUAUUAAGCAUCCGUUCCUCUUUGAUUUCCCUACUUCCCCAAUUUUUAAUCAUCCAGAGGUAAAACACUUAGAAAGUGCCUAUCACAUUUAAGACACUGAAUCAUUUAAGACAAGAAUCACUGCAGAAGUUGCAAAGAUACUUCAAAGAUACUGUCAUCAACCUGCUAAGGACCCACUGAGAAGUUAAACAAAAGCUUCUAACAUGAGGCCAUAUAUAUGUCUCAAAAAGGACGCAAACACAAUGCUAGGAGAGACAGGGAAGGAAAAACACGGCACGGAAAAGGCACUCCAGAAAUUGGAAAGGGGAGAGCAUUUUGGAAGAAGAGCCUGAAAAUCAUCCUAAUCCUCUUUAACUACCUGUGAUACUGGAAUGCCUACAUGGAAAUAUGGGUAUGGGGCGGCUAAAAUCCCGUGGUGAUUGAGAGUUGGUGUCUUCAAGUAAGAAGUACAGACCCCAGAGCCCUUAAUCAAUCAAUAGAAGCCACAAGCCCUCUUAGGAGUAACCCAUAGACAUCUAAAUAUGGAGAUAGACACACAGAUAAGAACUGUAACAGGAUAAGAGAAGAAAUUUGAAAUCUCAAUAUUUCUUCCUCCGGCCAGAAAAUGAGUAGUGCCAACCAGAGCCACCAUGUUGGGCAGCACAGGACGUAAUGUCACGAGGCCCCUACCAGGGUUGCGCCACACUGUGUUAACAGUGCCUGCCAGCCUGGCUCCCACUGAUUCUCCGAGCUCCAGCCAGAUCAGGUGCCUCCAAUCCCUGCUCUGGUCCAAGUGCUUGCCUGAUUCUGAGCCUUUGCAUAUGCUGUUCCCACUGCCUUGUACGCCCUUCCUAACCCUUUCUCCUACGGAAUUUACACUACCCUCCAGAACUCAGCUCAAAAGCUAAUCCUCAAUGAAGCAUUCUCUAACCUACAGAUGCUGUUAGCCUCCCUGCCAUACUCUGAUUGCACCCUUCUCCCACUCAGCCCUUCCCACAACUGUAAUUAAAUAAUUACAUGGGCAGUUUGUCGCAUAAGUGUGAUCUACCCCCUAGACGGCAGGCAAGUUUUAUGAGAGUUGUUUUUCAGCUGAAUUCCCAGCACCCAGCAAAGUGCCUUGCCCAUAAAAGACACUCAAUGUAAUAGUACAUACAUGGUACGUACAUUCUCAUUUUACUACCUCAAACAAAGCACUGUCUAUGAUCUUCUGCUUUCCCAUUUUCCUAUACUUUAAACUUCAUUCUCUGGCCUUCAAUUAACUUAAUGCCAGAAGAAAAUGGAUUCUGGAAAAAAAAACAUAGCCAGAAAUAUGCAUCAUGCUCAUAAAAUACCACUGGGCUCCACAAAAUGGCGCAGGUAAGAAAUGCCAUCUUGCUCCUUGGUCCAGUCUAAUUUCUAUUCUGGUGUUAUUCCCUUUUGGUCUGGUUUCACAGUCUCUACUGAGGGAAGCAAAAACACGAAAGACACUCUCAGGAUCUUGCAUUCCUCUUGGGGAUUUCAUAAGGCUAUUUCCACAGCUGAUGAUCACUCUGACUUUGGGCAGGGAGAGGUUAAGAAAAAAAAUGCAAUAUUCUGCAACAGCUGAAAUAAUUUUCUGCCAAAGCCUGGUUUUAAAUUCAAAGUAUGUUUUCUCUGUAUGUAGAAGGCAGUAAAAGGUCUAAAGUUAUAAUGUGACAUAUAAAUUUAGCACUCUAAGAUGCAAAAACAGAGCAGAUAUUUUUAUACACUACUCAUAGUAAUAAUUACUAUUGACUCUAAAGUAAGCAAAUCCAUAUUUGUUUUCAAGUUAAGUGUGUUACUUGAGAAUAUUUGAAAACAUUUGCUAAGGGGUGUGAACGGUGCAGACUCUCAUCAAAAUCCAUCUGUCUGAAUCUAUUAACUGGCAUUUCCCCAGCUGGGGCAUUCCUCAAGUCCUACAUAACAAAAGCUCCUUAUGCCAGGAGUGAGGGCUGAUACUGAACUUAGAAACUGGAUUUAUUUUAUCCAGAAUUAAAAGUUCUAAAUGGAUUUUGUAAUCGUGUAUCUUUAUGACCCAACACUAUUGAACACAACAAAACCAACAGCUGAUGUCAAAUAGAAAAUUAGAGUUUGAGCUUCAAAGUCAAGGUAGUUAUAACUGCUUUUCUAUUUUAAAAAACAAUUUGAAAAUAUCAGGGUAAGGGGUGUUUAGUGUUUCAUGUCUUUUAUAUCCCCCCAUGGACUUCAUUGCUUUCUGUUUUUCACCCAAUGUUAAUGAAGAGAUGUUAUCUUCGAUUUUUAGAAUUUGUAUGUUUUUGAAGGACUACAAUAUUUAGAUUAUCCCGAAUCAAGAAAACUCUACUUUCAUCAUCUAUAAAAAGACUGCCUGUGUUUUCUGACUACAUGGAAGGCCGUAACAAAUGCCUGCAGAUUGAUUGUGAUAUGUUGGUCUUCUACAUCCUUGUCAAGUUUAUCCCUAACAUCUUCCUUUCUGAAAAUGGGUGCUGCUCCUCUAGACUAUACCGGAAAUGUCAUUUCUAUUGCCCUGUGUUUACAAACCCUGGAAUCUCUAUUUUACUGCCACUCAUCUUUUCUCUUUCAUGUAUAUCAAAAGUAUAUAUGCUAUAUUGUGCAUGUGUGUGUGUGUAUAUAUAUGUAUAUGUUUAUAUUAUCUUUUGAGGAAGUAAACUGAAAAGCUUCAGAACCUACACAUCAAAAAGUUUGUCACAGUUUGCUUGCAUAUCACAGGCAGUUUCUCGUUUUUCCCCCAAAACCUCACUGGCACAACAGUGUUUUUAGUGUAGCCAACACUACUUCCUACUGAUGCUGAGUAAGUGAAGGCUCAGUUUAACUCUUCUCUAGCCUUCACCAAAUCCUAAAAUGGCUGGUAUGUGAGGCCUCAGUAGCUGCAAAAGGAAAUAGGAUGAGGGCCUUUCUCAGAUACUCUGCUUCCUGUUAUCAACCAACAGUUCUGCCCACCAAUAUCUCCUGAUUAUUCUAUACAGAGAGGAAAGAAAUGAAUAAAGAAAAUUCAAAAUGAACAUAAAGUCUUGGUAUAACCUAGGAUUUUGAGUCCUUUUCGUCACAAAACCUUUUUAUCUGAGGUACUUUAAAGAAUUUUUUUUUAUCCCCUUCCCUUGGUCCUAUUAUGGGCUGAAUAAAACUAUCCAAAUGUUACACUCCAAAGGCAAAGAAAAGAUUUUUUAAAAAAAGAGUAAAAAAAUGCACACACUGCAUCCCCAAAUCACCUUAGAAAGUCAUCCUGAGUCCUGUGAAGCCCAACAUUGUCUCUGUUACUAAGAAGCAGAAAAGUGGCCGGGCGCGGUGGCUCACGCCUGUAAUCCCAGCACUUUGGGAGGCAGAGGCGGACGGAUCACGAGGUCAGGAGAUCGAGCCCAUCCUGGCUAACACGGUGAAACCCCGUCUCUACAAAAAAUUAGCCGGGCCUGGUGGCUGGCGCCUGUAGUCCCAGCUACUCGGGAGGCUGAGGCAGGAGAAUGGCGUGAACCUGG